rnacentral:rRNA from 1 species
CCUUUGUACACACCGCCCGUCGCUACUACCGAUUGAAUGGCUUAGUGAGACCUCCGGAUUGGCUUCGGGGAGCCGGCAACGGCACCCUGUCGCUGAGAAGCUGGUCAAACUUGGUCAUUUAGAGG